UAGACCGCCUGGGGAGUACGGCCGCAAGGUUAAAACUCAAAUGAAUUGACGGGGGCCCGCACAAGCGGUGGAGCAUGUGGUUUAAUUCGAUGCAACGCGAAGAACCUUACCUGGUCUUGACAUCCACAGAACUUUCCAGAGAUGGAUUGGUGCCUUCGGGAACUGUGAGACAGGUGCUGCAUGGCUGUCGUCAGCUCGUGUUGUGAAAUGUUGGGUUAAGUCCCGCAACGAGCGCAACCCUUAUCCUUUGUUGCCAGCGGUUAGGCCGGGAACUCAAAGGAGACUGCCAGUGAUAAACUGGAGGAAGGUGGGGAUGACGUCAAGUCAUCAUGGCCCUUACGACCAGGGCUACACACGUGCUACAAUGGCGCAUACAAAGAGAAGCGACCUCGCGAGAGCAAGCGGACCUCAUAAAGUGCGUCGUAGUCCGGAUUGGAGUCUGCAACUCGACUCCAUGAAGUCGGAAUCGCUAGUAAUCGUGGAUCAGAAUGCCACGGUGAAUACGUUCCCGGGCCUUGUACACACCGCCCGUCACACCAUGGGAGUGGGUUGCAAAAGAAGUAGGUAGCUUAACCUUCGGGAGGGCGCUUACCACUUUGUGAUUCAUGACUGGGGUGAAGUCGUAACAAGGUAACCGUAGGGGAACCUGCGGUUGGAUCACCUCCUUACCUUAAAGAAGC
rnacentral:rRNA from 4 species